AUUUAAUGGUUUUCUAUUUAACAAUGUGUUUUGUUUGUACCUGGAGGGGGAACACCAUUGUUUUGAGCAUUUAUACAUGCUUUUCAUGGAUUUUAAUUUUAAGUUUAUUAUUUAUUUUAUUUUAUUUUAUUUUUUUGUGGUUGUCUGCUAUAACUUUUCUCUGUUUUCUUCUGGCAACAAAUAAGCUUCCAAUGGUAAAGAAACUCAAGCCAAGAGGGAGAAAUCAAAGGAGAAGGGUCAGUUGACACUCUCCACUGCUGAACCUCCUAAUCCUACAACAAGUGAUCCUGAACAUAAACAGAGAGCAGACUAGCAUACAAGCAUCUGCAUCAAGUGUGACAUCUGAUAAAGAUGAAGAUGCCCCAUCUGAAAAUUCUGCUGCUGCUGUGUCCAAUAAUUUUACAGACCAAAAAAGUACAGAUGUUUUUGGCAAGUUGUGGAAAUUGAAGCCAUUGCAAAGAGAAGGAACUGCCAUUAUCAGUCAUCA